rnacentral:siRNA from 1 species
GAAAGUAUCACCUAUCUCAACUC